AUGAGUUUGAUCCUGGCUCAGAGUGAACGCUAAUAAUAUGCUUUACACAUGCGAGUUGUACGAAAUAUUUUCGUAGCGAACGGGUGAGGAAUACGCAAUUGUUUAUAU
rnacentral:rRNA from 1 species